rnacentral:misc_RNA from 1 species
UUUCCGUAGGUGAACCUGCGGAAGGAUCAUUACUGAGUGUUGAAUGAAGUUGUUCUGGUCUCUCGGGGCAAGUGAACGCUUCUCUCAAUCCAUCUUACACCUGUGCACCUAUCGGAAAAGACUUGGAUCUAAGUUGGGUCACGACGGCGAUCUACAGUCUCCUCUUUAUACAAAAUAACAGUUUUAGAAGUCUGUUUUUCUUGAUGCAAACUUAAAUAAAUACAACUUUCAGCAACGGAUCUCUUGGCUCUC